CUCUUUGCACAGUGGCCCUAUCAUAGUCAAAUGAGGUUUACCCGAGGCACGAUUAUUGCUAAUUGAAAACUUCCCAAUACCACAAGAUAACUUGCAAUAGAGCUGGCACUGGCCAUUUCCUUUUUUUUUCUUUGAGA
rfam:Pongo abelii chromosome 17, whole genome shotgun sequence.